ensembl:miRNA Mir1952 microRNA 1952
CCCUCUCUUAUUGAUCCCCACCCUCCUUCUGUGCAGGCUUAUUUCCUGCUCCAAGGUGUGGAUGACAAAAGAGAUGGAA